UUGGAUGGACAUCACCUGAUUUGUUUGGAUAAUCGAUGACCCACAAGUGCCAUCCGUAGAUAACUUUUUCAAUACAAUUGAUCCUUGUAUGCUUUCGGGACAUGGUCCAUGGUCUCGGUCCUUACGCAAGAGUGAUAUCCACACACUCCAAUUGAUAUGAGACUUUAUCAAGUGGACCAGAAAAACUCCCAAGUCGGUCGUUUCUUUGAUUGAUCUGCUUCUGCCUUUCCUUUACUGAAAAAACAACUUGACCCGGCGGCGGGUCACUUGGCGACUGUAGGGGCGGCGGUGAGGCCGGGUCAACUUGACCCGGCGGCGGUUUAACACCAGGACGACAGCUCAUCGACAUGGCCGCGGCGAGCCACGGCGUAGAGGUGGACUGGCCCAGAAGCAAGGGGAGGCCGUAGCGGCUCCGGUCGAGCAUGCCUCUGGCGGGUCGCGGUCCGGCUCGAGGAGUUGUGGCGGCAGCACGCAGCAAGGGCGGCGGCUCAAAGCAGCAGCUCGGAGGCGGCGUACAGCGAAGGCGGCCCGCGGCGACGGCUCGGCGAUUUGAGGCAGGCCCGGGAGGCCCAUGGCAGAGGAGGGCAACGCGGAGGCGGGUUGCGACCCGAAGUGCGGUGGCUCAGGGCGCCGAGAGACCGUGGGAGACGUCGACUGCGGCAGCAGCUCGGGGGCGCCGACGGGUCACAGCCCGGCAGUUCAACAACGGCGACUCAGGAUAGCGACCGUGCCCGUGGAUUGGCUCAGAAACACGGAGGCCCGGAGAAGCAGGGUAACUCAAGGCGACGGAAGAAGAUGGCGGGUGGCAGAGCGAACCCGGGUCGUCGUAGCACGGCCAAGGGGCUCACGGCCCGGAGCAGGUCCGGCCGGGCGCGUACAACCAUGGAGCGGAAGGAGAGGCGCCGGGCCCCUCGGCGAGGGCCACUCGUGAUGAAGACGGGCAGUUCGAGGCGCGAUGGAACGACUCGGAGAUGACGGCAGGUGGUGACUCUGAUGCCUUCCGGCGACUCGGAGCAAGGUCGAGGCGACCACAGAAUGUGUAUCCUUCUCCGGGUCGUGUCCGCUUUGACCCCUCUUCGUCCGCAUCGUCCAGGUCACAGGUGUGGCUGAAUCGGCGGUUUACACGCAGCAGAGGAGGCACCCGGCGGUGCGACGGCGGAAACACCGGCUUGCGGCGGACGGCCAGGCCUCUUGAGGCAGUCUGGGACAGCGUCGGUUUAUCCAAUGGUGACGAGGAGACAUCGCCGAGGUGGUUUAGGCAGGCGGCAGAAGCAGAACGAAGCGGAGCCUGGCACGGGUGAUGACUCGGCAUCGGUGACUUGGCGCGCGCGUGAGCAGCGCGGCAAUGGGCGGUUCAACGUGCCACAAUGGCUCAUUGCGGAGGAGACAAACAGAAACGGCGGCGACUCCCGCAGCAAGGCGACUCGAGGCUGUGCCAGCUCAGAGCGCGGGAUGACCUGCGGCGAGGCAGCUCUGAAUCAGUUGCAGCGGGUCAUGAUGGACCAAAUUGGCUGUUUGCAGGUGAAACGACGUGACUCGGAACAGAGGCAUGUCAGUUUGGAAACAGUGAGGCAACUUGUAGACGAGGCGAAUUGAGGGCGCGGCGACUCGUACUGCCGCUCCACUGGUGGAUGUGGCGUCUCAAUCCUGGGGCAGCUCGGUAGCCUCAAUAGUUGUGGUGUUUCAGAGCGACUUGGAGCAGCGGCGAUUUGGAAGGCUGCAACAGCGGAAGCAGGGAGCCGCGUCUUGGAGUAGAACAGGCAGAGGCAAACUGCGGGUCAGCGACAGUCUGAGGUAACUCGAAAUCAGACGCAACGCCGAGGUGGUGACUCGGAGAGGCGGCUCGCAGCUAGGUGGGCCCGCGACAGAUCAGCAGCGAAAAGGGCAAAGGCACUGACGGGUCGAGGAAAAGCCAGACCGGGCGACUUAAAAGCACAUCGGCGACGGCGACUCAGCCGAGCACGACGAUUUGCUCGUGGAAGAAAACGGUUUAGGGACUCAUCGGCGGCAGGCGGCUGAUACGUCUCCAACGUAUGUAUAAUCUUUGAUUGCUCUAUGCUAUAUUAUCUAUUGUUUUGGACUA